AACGAACGCUGGCGGCAUGCCUAACACAUGCAAGUCGAACGAGACCUUCGGGUCUAGUGGCGCACGGGUGCGUAACGCGUGGGAAUCUGCCCUUGGGUUCGGGAUAACAGUUGGAAACGACUGCUAAUAACGGAUGAUGACUUCGGUCCAAAGAUUUAUCGCCCAGGGAUGAGCCCGCGUCGGAUUAGCUAGUUGGUGGGGUAAAGGCCUACCAAGGCGACGAUCCUUAGCUGGUCUGAGAGGAUGAUCAGCCACACUGGGACUGAGACACGGCCCAGACUCCUACGGGAGGCAGCAGUAGGGAAUAUUGGACAAUGGGCGCAAGCCUGAUCCAGCAAUGCCGCGUGAGUGAUGAAGGCCUUAGGGUUGUAAAGCUCUUUUACCCGAGAUGAUAAUGACAGUAUCGGGAGAAUAAGCCCCGGCUAACUCCGUGCCAGCCGCCGCCGUAAGAC
rnacentral:rRNA from 1 species